rnacentral:tRNA from 1 species
AUUUUAUUAUUAUAAGUUUAUAAAAUAAAUUUUGUAAAUUUAUUUUUUUUAAAACU